rfam:Tupaia chinensis contig73712, whole genome shotgun sequence.
UCGCUUCGGCACCAUAUAUACGGAAAUUAGAACAAUUCCGAGGAGGUGAGCAUGGCCCCUGUGCCAGGAUGACGUGCAAAUUAUGAAGUGUUCCAUAUUUUU